GGACUUUUCAGACAUCUCUCCCUCUGUCCCUCAUGGCUGCUGUCUUGCUGUCUUUCACUUUUCUUGGGCUGAGCCAGGCUGCAAGGGGGUCAUGCUCUGUUAUGGAAGGACAGAGAGGAAGGAACAAGAACAGUGAAUUUUUUAGUUUUCGUCCCUCAACAAUACAUAUUCUCAGUAAAUAUUCCCAAGAUAUAUGCUGAUGAGGACAUAGGAAGAACAGCGUUAGGAGGCUUGCAGCAAGAAGUAGGAAGUGUACGACAGGAAGUGGGAGAAGAUACAAGUUCUACCAACAUAUAGUUGGGGUGUUGGAAGAGAUAGAAUUGGAGUCAUCAUUUGGGUAACUGGAGAUAUGAAACUAAAGUAUGAAAAGGGAGAGUUGUGGAAUUUGAAGAUAAAAGAUUACAUGGAUAUGAAUGAAGAAGAGUCAAAAGUGUUUUCUGGAAAUAAAAUGGUUUAGUUUGAAGUCUUUUUACUGACCACAUCAUCUGUGUCUGUGUGAAGAGGAAGAAAGCUCUUCUUAUGAAGCAGAGAUGGAGAGGUCCAUGGCUGACACAGAAGCCACGCUGCAUUGCAUUUCUGAAAGUUUUCAUACCUUCACCAUCACCGAUAAGAUACAAGCUCUGAUGACUGUUCAGAUGGAGAAAAGCAGCUUUCUGUAACACAAACCUACAUUUUAAGAAAUGGUCCAGCAGAGUAGUGGACAGUGAGUUGCUAUGAGAAGGCAAAAAGAAAACCCAGACAAACAACAAACCAGAACAAAAACAAAACAGGAAAUCAAGCUCAAGUGGGACUGAUUCCAAACACUGACCAAUUUUAUCCUGACUGCAAUUUUGCCUUGACCUUUCCUGACUAAAGCAAAAUGAGGCUGGCUACGUGGAGAGGUUUUUUGCAGUGUUUAUACUCUGUUAAAAAAAUGGUACUAUAUCCUCCCUGGAUGACAGUGAAUCAUAUAAAAUGAACCCUAAGGAAACUGUAUGAAAGAGAAAAUGAAGAACGUAAGUAGUGGAAGACAAAUCACAUGGAGUAAUACAGUUACUGUAGACUUCUCAUAUCUUCUCCUUUUAGCCUCCAAACAUAACACUGAAAUUGCUGUACAAGAAACCCCAAUCAGUGAGAGUAUUAUAUGAAACAAUGUGAAAGACAAGAACAGACUUCAAAGUCAUGUUUCAACUUACGAACUAUAUGCAUAGUAUUAGGAAAAAUGGAAUCAGUUAUUAUAUUAUUUGCAUGACAUAUCUUACCACAUGCUAGUAACUAAACUACUAGUAGCUAUUGUUAUUAGGUAUUGUGUGAGUGCCUAUGAGCAGCACUGUCGAACACCGCAAGACAAAGUCUGUUUGUUCCUGUGAAGGUUUCUACCUUUUUUUGUUUUUUGUAUUGGUCUUUAGUGAAGUUGAAGGGAAGACAGAAAGAAAAAAAAUAGGAAAUAAUAUAUUUUGCAAAUGAAUAGGCACAAUAACUAGAGGAGGUACCUGCAGCAAAUCUUAACUAUUUUUUACUUGACUUAUCUUCAAGUUAUUUAGGACGCUGUUACUGCUCUUUGGAUGUCUAAGCAGGCCACUUUAAGCAUUUAAGUAAAUGCAUUCAAGUAGGAAAUGUGAGGCAAAAUGAUUUUAUUUAAUGUUCUGCAGUGGAAAAAAUUAUAUUCGAUGUGUUAUGUGUAACUGGUCAUAUGUUGAGAGCUUUUCUUCCCACA
ensembl:lncRNA